GAGGAGGUGGCAUGCCGUGUCAUAUUCAUCUGUUUGCCGAAUGGAGAGUAGUGAGAGAUGUUUCCGAAGCUGUUGUCAGAAGAAAGGGACAAGUCAUGAAGUUUCCUACAGGUUACAACAAGGCAAAAAGUGACUACUAUUCAGAAGCAGUUUUUCCAGUACUGCAGAUUUCCAGGAGUUGCUGUUGAUGGGACACAUGUUUACAUCAGGAGCCCUGGUGGGGCAAGAGCCAGGUACUACUUCAAUAGGAAGAACAGGUACUCCAUCGAUGUUCAGGUUGUCUGUGAUUAUGCUGGGAAAAUAAUUAGUACCGUUGCAAGGUGGCCUGGACUAGUAGCAGCCAUGACGCCAGGAUCUUUUGUGCACUGAAUUGACAGCUUGAUGCUAGGGCAUAUGAAUAACAGUUGAUUCUUGGAGAUAGACUAUAGGGUAUCCAUGCCUUCUCUGCCUCAUCAGAAGUCAUUUCUUCAUUCAGAGGGUCGACCACGGAUGUGCUUUAAAGGCCAUCUGUACUAGUUCAG